rnacentral:rRNA from 1 species
AAUCCCUUAACGAGGAACAAUUGGAGGGCAAGUCUGGUGCCAGCAGCCGCGGUAAUUCCAGCUCCAAUAGCGUAUAUUAAAGUUGUUGUGGUUUAAAAGCUCGUAGUUGAACCUUGGGCCUGGCUGGCCGGUCCGCCUCACCGCGUGUACUGGUCCGGCCGGGCCUUUCCCUCUGUGGAACCCCAUGCCCUUCACUGGGUGUGGCGGGGAAACAGGACUUUUACUUUGAAAAAAAUUAGAGUGCUCCAGGCAGGCCUAUGCUCGAAUACAUUAGCAUGGAAUAAUAGAAUAGGACGUGUGGUUCUAUUUUGUUGGUUUCUAGGACCGCCGUAAUGAUUAAUAGGGACAGUCGGGGGCAUCAGUAUUCAAUUGUCAGAGGUGAAAUUCUUGGAUUUAUUGAAGACUAACUACUGCGAAAGCAUUUGCCAAGGAUGUUUUCAUUAAUCAGGAACGAAAGUUAGGGGAUCGAAGACGAUCAGAUACCGUCGUAGUCUUAACCAUAAACUAUGCCGACUAGGGAUCGGACGAUGUUAUUUUUUGACUCGUUCGGCACCUUACGAGAAAUCAAAGUGCUUGGGCUCCAGGGGGAGUAUGGUCGCAAGGCUGAAACUUAAAGAAAUUGACGGAAGGGCACCACCAGGGGUGGAGCCUGCGGCUUAAUUUGACCCAACACGGGGAAACUCACCAGGUCCAGACACAAUGAGGAUUGACAGAUUGAGAGCUCUUUCUUGAUUUUGUGGGUGGUGGUGCAUGGCCGUUCUUAGUUGGUGGAGUGAUUUGUCUGCUUAAUUGCGAUAACGAACGAGACCUUAACCUGCUAAAUAGCCCGUAUUGCUUUGGCAGUACGCUGGCUUCUUAGAGGGACUAUCGGCUCAAGCCGAUGGAAGUUUGAGGCAAUAACAGGUCUGUGAUGCCCUUAGAUGUUCUGGGCCGCACGCGCGCUACACUGACGGAGCCAGCGAGUUCUCCCUUGGCCGGAAGGUCCGGGUAAUCUUGUUAGACUCCGUCGUGUUGGGGAUAGAGCAUUGCAAUUAUUGCUCUUCAACGAGGAAUCCCUAGUAAGCGCAAGUCAUCAGCUUGCGUUGAUUACGUCCCUGCCCUUUGUACACACCGCCCGUCGCUACUACCGAUUGAAUGGCUCAGUGAGGCGUCCGGACUGGCCCAGAGAGGUGGGCAACUACCCCUCAGGGCCGGAAAGCUCCCCAAACUCGGUCAUUUAGAGGAAGUAAAAGUCGUAACAAGGUCUCCGUUGGUGAACCAGCGGAGG